rnacentral:rRNA from 1 species
CUCCUACGGGAGGCAGCAGUGGGGAAUUUUGCGCAAUGGGGGAAACCCUGACGCAGCGACGCCGCGUGGAGGAUGAAGGUUUUCGGAUUGUAAACUCCUUUUGCAGGGGAAGAUAAUGACGGUACCCUGCGAAUAAGCCACGGCUAACUCUGUGCCAGCAGCCGCGGUAAGACAGAGGUGGCAAGCGUUGUUCGGAAUUACUGGGCUUAAAGGGCGCGUAGGUGUCCCGGCAAGUCAGAUGUGGAAUCUUUUCGCUUAACGGAAAAAUUGCAUUUGAAACUGUCGGGAUUGAGUCAGACAGGGGAUGGCGGAAUUCCUGGUGUAGCGGUGAAAUGCGUAGAUAUCAGGAGGAAGGCCGGUGGCGAAGGCGGCCAUCUGGGUCUGAACUGACACUGAGGCGCGAAAGCGUGGGUAGCAAACAGGAUUAGAUACCCUGGUAGUCCACGCCCUAAACGGUGGGUACUAGGUGUGGGGCUCGCAAGGGUUCUGUGCCGAAGGGAAACCAUUAAGUACCCCGCCUGGGGAGUACGGCCGCAAGGUUGAAACUCAAAGGAAUUGACGG